GAUGAAGAACGCAGCGAAAUGCGAUAAGUAAUGUGAAUUACAGAAUUCAGUGAAUCAUCGAAUCUUUGAACGCACAUUGCGCCCCCUGGCAUUCCGGGGGGCAUGCCUGUUCGAGCGUCAUUACAACCCUCAAGCUCUGCUUGGUAUUGGGCUCUGCUGGGACCGGCAGGCCUUAAAAUCAGUGGCGGCGCCACUCGGCUUCAAGCGUAGUAAUUCUUCUCGCUUCGGAGACCCGGGUGCGUGCUAGCCAGCAACCCCCAACUUUCUUAGGUUGACCUCGGAUCAGGUAGGGAUACCCGCUGAACUUAAGCAUAUCAAUAAGCGGAGGA
rnacentral:misc_RNA from 1 species